CAAGUCGUGCGAGAAAGGGCUUCGGCCCCGAUAAAGCGGCGCACGGGUGCGUAACACGUGGAUAAUCUACCUGGGAGCGAGGGAUAACGUCCCGAAAGGGAGGCUAAUACCUCGUAGGACCACGGCGACCUCGGUCGCUGCGGUGAAAGAUGGCCUCUGCAUGCAAGCUAUCGCUUCCUGAUGAGUCCGCGGCCCAUCAGCUAGUUGGCGAGGUAAUGGCUCACCAAGGCUAAGACGGGUAGCUGGUCUGAGAGGAUGAUCAGCCACACUGGAACUGAAACACGGUCCAGACUCCUACGGGAGGCAGCAGUGGGGAAUCUUGGUCAAUGGGCGAAAGCCUGAACCAGCGACGCCGCGUGGGUGAUGAAGGCCUUCGGGUCGUAAAGCCCUGUGGGGAGGGACGAAAUGCUGCGGGUGAACAAUCCGCGGAGCUGACUUUACCUCCUUAGCAAGCACCGGCUAACUCUGUGCCAGCAGCCGCGGUAAGACAGAGGGUGCAAACGUUGCUCGGAAUCACUGGGCGUAAAGCGCGUGUAGGUGGCUUCGCAAGUCGGGUGUGAAAUCCCUGGGCUCAACCCAGGACGUGCAUCCGAAACUGCGUCGCUUGAGUGCUGGAGAGGGCAGUGGAAUUCCCGGUGUAGAGGUGAAAUUCGUAGAUAUCGGGAGGAACACCGGUGGCGAAGGCGGCUGCCUGGACAGCUACUGACACUGAGACGCGAAAGCGUGGGGAGCAAACAGGAUUAGAUACCCUGGUAGUCCACGCUGUAAACGAUGGGUGCUAGGCGUCGCGGGUAUUGACCCCUGCGGUGCCGCAGCCAACGCGUUAAGCACCCCGCCUGGGAACUACGGCCGCAAGGCUAAAACUCAAAUGAAUUGACGG
rnacentral:rRNA from 1 species